UAUCAGAAUAAUGAUUUAGUUAUUUAGGAUGUGCCUAAAUAAAGGUGACUGGUGAGGUUGGUUUAUUUUUUUAUUUUUUUCUAAAUUUUUUUUUUUAUUUUAAAAAAUUUUUAACUAGGGGAAAGCGCGAACGCAGUCCCCCACUAUCACAAAUUAUGCAGUCGAGUUUUCCACAUUUGGGGAAAUCGCAGGGGUCAGUACAUCCGGAGUGCAAUGGAUAAGCCUCGCCCUGGGAAAACCUCCUUCGUGAUCAUGAUCGAAAGAGCACAC